GUUAACGUUUUUUCUUGUUUUGUUUUGAUUUUGCGUCAUCUAAAAUCGUACGUGUUGACUUUAAACGUAUACGACUUUGUAUAUUGUAAGAGCAAAACAAUUCUCGCCAGCAGCUGACUGAAAGGAUUUACCGAAAAAAUUUAAGAGAGACGACCAAUUCUCUUGAAUUACCCAAUACAAUGUAAAAUUUAUUUAUUUAUUAACGUUUUAAGCAAACGUUUUGCAAUAGACACCAUUGUAAAACUAUCAGCUUGUUUGCGAUUUUUCGGUGAAGAAGCGUAUCCGAAAGUUGUGGGAAGGCAAAUGGAUGUUGGUUUAUCACAAUCAAGCUUCAAGGGAAUCCUUUAUGAAGUAUUGGACGUAUUUUAGUCAUGUCUCUGCAACCAGUGGAUAACGUGACUUACUAAAAUAGAGAUACGAGAAAUAUGUUUGAAUCUUUACCAAAAAUUUAAUAUCCCUCGCCACGUCAAAAUUAUAGGUCCCAAAAGCAAUGAACACUUAUAUGACAACAAAAAAGGAGUAUAUUAAAGAAUGUUUUGCUGGUAUGUAAUGAUAAAAUGAAAAUAAGGUAUGUUGAUGAUACACACCCUGGAGUCUGCCACGAUUCAUCAAUUCGGUAUACGAGUCAGAUACGUAUUUCAAUGGAACAGGAAUAUGUGCGAGCCACAAGUAACGUUUAGUUGCUAGGCGAGGGACUUGGCUGCUAAUACCCCACCGAUCGGCGGCAGAAGGAUCUUCAGAAAGUAAGUUUAAUGAAGUACAUGCACGCGCGCGUAAUAUUGUGGAAAUGACAAAGUGUUUUGAAAAAUAGAUGGAGAUGUGUACUGGCAGCUAGAGAGAUGCAUUACGUUCUUAAAAAGGCUGAAGUUUAUGAACCAGUACUGUCUGAUGAAACCGAACCCAACUCCUCCAACACCAUUGGGGAAUAAUUAUAAAUUUUGAAAGUUUAAAAAUGUGCUUUUAUUAACAUAUUAAUUCCAGUAAAACUUCAAGAAAAUGUGUUAAAAUAAAGUAAAUAUCGUUAAUUAAUUACAGAAAAAGGAAAAUUAAAAUUAGAGAAAAGAUGUAUGUACAUAUGUAUAUAAGGCAAUAUAGUUAUUGCCUAAGUUUCUCUUUGCAGCGAAUAUUUCUAGUUUUUGAACUUCGAUUUGGGCCUAUAUAAGUUAUAGUGAACGUUCUACUUCUAUUUUUUUAAGGCCUGCAAUGUCUACAUUGUGAUGUUGUGUUUCUGUUAGUAAAUUAACUUGAGUUUUUUGCACAUUUCAAUGUCUUCUUCUAAUUUCCUUAAUUAAUUUUCUAUUUCUUUGUAGUGUUCACUCCGUAUUUGUAGACUCUUAGUUAAGUUAACACAUAUUUCUUUUUAUAUUUUCAGUUCGAUACUCAGUACCUCGAAAGUAUUAGUAUUAUUC